rnacentral:lncRNA from 1 species
UUUAUUUGAUUCCUAUCUAAUUUAGGGUUUAAAAUGCUUAGUGAUGUUUUUUUCUUUUUAUAGUUGUGUGCUACGCAGAGUUGGUUUCCGGCCUCAACACCAGCAAAGUCUCCCAACCAAUCAAAUCGCCAGACAACAGCGGCGAAGAUGGCGACUCUUCAGAAUCCAGCGAAGAAGUCAAACCCCACAAGGGUCGCAGACAAAGAUCCCUAGGGUCAAAAUCAGAAAAAAAGUCUGACAAGGGUGAUAAAGGUGAUAAAGGUGGCAAAGGUGGCAAGCCUCCAAAACCCGACACCCAGAGUGUAACUAAACAACCCUUUCCCCACAGUGAGCCUCAUACAGAAUCCCAUCCACACAACACCACCGGAGGCAACCACACUGGAUCCCAUGACCUGCAUCCCAAAGAUGACCACUCAUCAGAAUCCAGCGAAGAAGUCAAACCCAACAAAGGUCGCAAACAAAGAUCCCUCGGGUCCAAAUCAGAAAAAAAGUCUGACAAAGGUAACAAAGGUGGCAAGCCUCCAAAACCCGACAGCCAGAGUGUUACCAAACAACCCUUUUCCCACAGUGAUCCUCCUAAAGGCACUGGAGCUCCAAACCAGAACUCAUCAAUGACCCCAAACCCUGUCAGACCAACCGGCCACCAUGACGAUGAUAAUAGUGCAGAAUUCAAGUCCAAGGGUCGCCAUCGAAGGUCCCCCAAAUGGCCAAGACCUGGACCCAAACCCCAGCCAAAGCCCGAUCCAAAGCCCCAGCCAAAACCCCAACCAAAACCUGAACCAAAACCCCAACCAAAGCCCGAUCCAAAGCCCCAGCCAAAACCCCAACCAAAACCUGAACCAAAACCCCAACCAAAGCCUGAAAAAAGUGGUGAGCAACUCUACGGUGUGUUCCAGCUGUCAGAUCGGGUUGCCUGUGCCUCCGGAACUAAGCCCACCCUCAAUCUCUGCGGACUGACCUGCGACAAACUGGUUGAUGAUGACAUCACCGAUGACAUCGCCUGUCUCAAGACCCUCCUCAGCAAGUUCACGCCAGUGGACAGCCUUAAAGGAGAGGCCAGAGAGCAUGUCAAGAAAUUGUACGACCAAAUCUACCAGAAGCAAUGUGCCGGCGCGACCGACGCCCAGUUUUUCUCUGGCUGUUAGACCCGAGCACAGCACGGCAGACUCAUCCAGAACUUCUCUACUCUGUAACCUGAUAAAUUCUUUCGUAAAAAAUGAUCGUGGCAAUCACUUUCCUAUUUUUCUGACUGUAAGCUACGUCUGUGCUUUUUUUUUUUAGAACGUGAAAAAAAGCACGACUGUUGGAGAUCAUUUCACAAUGUCUUUCUUGUUGGUUGAAUAUAAAAGUUCAGCUGAUCAGUAGGACGAUUCUAGUACUGUAUCGCUGUAUCACUGACGGUACAGCAUAACGUUAAGGUUUAGGGUUUAAUUUAAAGAUUAUUUAACUGAUAAUUAUUUAACUUCCUUCUGUCCUCAAUACAUUCUCUGCAUUCAAACAUCCAUGUUGUCAUAUUUUCUUUCAGCUUGUUUUUUGUGUUGUGUUUAAACUGCACGUGCAAACGAGUUUGAAAAAAAAAACGGUCAUUUUAUGCAUUUGACAAAAAAAUAUCAAAAGGGUUAAACUGUUCAUUUUUUUGUUCAAAACCUCUUAACUCAUUGU